GACGAACGCUGGCGGCGUGCUUAACACAUGCAAGUCGAACGGAAAGGCCUGCUUUCCCUUGUGGAUUGCGGGUACUCGAGUGGCGAACGGGUGAGUAACACGUGAGUGAUCUGCCCCCAACUUGGGUAUAAGCCUGGGAAACUGGGUCUAAUUCCCGAUAGGACUGCAGGGUGGUGCCUGUGGUGGAAAACGAUUUUCUAGUGGUUGGGGAUGAGCUCGCGGCCUAUCAGCUUGUUGGUGGGGUAAUGGCCUACCAAGGCGGCGACGGGUAGCCGGCCUGAGAGGGUGGACGGCCACAUUGGGACUGGGAUACGGCCCAGACUCCUACGGGAGGCAGCAGUGGGGAAUAUUACACAAUGGGCGGAAGCCUGAUGCAGCGACGCCGCGUGGGGGAUGACGGCCUUCGGGUUGUAAACUCCUUUCGACCGCGAGGAAGCCACCUGGUUGGAAGGGUGGUGACGGUAGUGGUAGAAGAAGCACCGGCUAACUACGUG
rnacentral:rRNA from 1 species